UGGGGGAUAUUGCACAAUGGGCGAAAGCCUGAUGCAGCGACGCCGCGUGGGGGAUGAAGGCUUUCGGGUUGUAAACCUCUUUCGCUAUCGAACAAGGCCCGCUUAGGGUGGGUUGAGGGUCGGUGGAGAAGAAGCGCCGGCUAACUACGUGCCAGCAGCCGCGGUAGUACGUAGGGCGCGAGCGUUGUCCGGAAUUAUUUGGCGUAAAGGGCUUGUAGGCGGCUUGUUGCUCCUGCUGUGAAAUCGCGGGGCUUAACUUCGCGCGUGCAGUGGGUACGGGCAGGGUUGAGUGUGGUAGGGGUGACUGGAAUUCCAGGUGUAGCGGUGGAAUGCGCAGAUAUCUGGAGGGACACCGAUGGCGAAGGGAGGUCACUGGGCCAUUACUGACGCUGAGGAGCGAAAGCAUGGGUAGCGAACAGG
rnacentral:rRNA from 1 species